rnacentral:rRNA from 1 species
AUUGUUAGUUGUCCAUCAUUCAGUUGGGCACUCUAGCGAGACUGCCGGUAAUAAACCGGAGGAAGGUGGGGAUGACGUCAAAUCAUCAUGCCCCUUAUGACCUGGGCUACACACGUGCUACAAUGGUUGGUACAACGAGUUGCGAGUCGGUGACGGCGAGCUAAUCUCUUAAAGCCAAUCUCAGUUCGGAUUGUAGGCUGCAACUCGCCUACAUGAAGUCGGAAUCGCUAGUAAUCGCGGAUCAGCACGCCGCGGUGAAUACGUUCCCGGGCCUU